ACGCACGCUGGCGGCGUGCUUCACCCCUGCCAGUCGCACGGUGAAGCGAGUGCUUGCACUCGUGGAUCAGUGGCGAACGGGUGAGUAACACGUGAGUAACCUGCCCAUCACUCUGGGAUAAGCACUGGAAACGGUGUCUAAUACUGGAUACGACCAACCCUUGCAUGGGGUGUUGGUGGAAAGAUUUAUCGGUGAUGGAUGGACUCGCGGCCUAUCAGCUUGUUGGCGGGGUAAUGGCCCACCAAGGCGACGACGGGUAGCCGGCCUGAGAGGGUGACCGGCCACACUGGGACUGAGACACGGCCCAGACUCCUACGGGAGGCAGCAGUGGGGAAUAUUGCACAAUGGGCGAAAGCCUGAUGCAGCGACGCCGCGUGAGGGAUGACGGCCUUCGGGUUGUAAACCUCUUUCAGCAGGGAAGAAGCGAAAGUGACGGUACCUGCAGAAGAAGCACCGGCUAACUACGUG
rnacentral:rRNA from 1 species